UUUUAGGUCAUGUUGGAUGCUGAGGUCUAUCAGGAGGAGUUCUUUGUCAACAUUUAAAGCUUUUGAAAUUUGCACUGGACUGAGUUUGCCGUGGACUAAAGGAGAGACCAGAUUGCCCUGUGACUGGCCGUAGUCUUCAGUUGGGCUUGCCAACCCACGGUGUAGACAAGAAGAUUGACCAUCCCAUUGAAUCCUGUGUGGUUUAGCCCAAAGUUGCUGAAAGAAGUGGACCUGAUCGUUCCUGCCUCUGGCUGUGUCACUCCGCUACCUACAUCUUCUCCAAGGGGGAAAAAGGCCUGGUGUCUGCCAACCACCUUCAGAGGACUGAACACUCAUAACAUCCAACUAAAUCGUUUUGUCCAAGCAGAGGAACAAGAAAAGAAGAAGUUUGGGAGGAACACGCUAGAGCACACACACCAAGAUCUACAGUUCUUGCAAUCUUUUGGCUUUGUUAUAUAGAGAGCCAGGAUCUGAUGAGUAUCACAGAUCCAUAAAUUACUCGGUAAGGAUAAUUUUUAGAUUCAAUACGGGGUUUCAUCUCGCUCAGAUUGGCCCAGAGUGGGAUUACCCUUGACUGGGCUGCAUCGGUUUUUUACCAUUUCUUACGAGGUGGCGUUUUUCUGGUGCGAGGCCCAGCCCGCCCUUUGAUGCCCCCUACUGGUACUCUUGGAUUUGUAAGGUUUGAAAGUGAUGGAUGUUUGUCCAUGGGAAUGGGAAGUGGAGGACCAAGUAGGAGGUUUCUUGGGGUGGAGGU